rnacentral:rRNA from 1 species
AUUGAACGCUGGCGGCAUGCCUUACACAUGCAAGUCGAACGGCAGCGGGCCUUCGGGUGCCGGCGAGUGGCGAACGGGUGAGUAAUGCAUCGGAACGUGCCAUUGAGUGGGGGAUAACGUAGCGAAAGUUACGCUAAUACCGCAUAUUCUGUGAGCAGAAAAGCAGGGGACCGCAAGGCCUUGCGCUCUUUGAGCGGCCGAUGUCAGAUUAGCUAGUUGGUGAGGUAAAGGCUUACCAAGGCGACGAUCUGUAGCGGGUCUGAGAGGAUGAUCCGCCACACUGGAACUGAGACACGGUCCAGACUCCUACGGGAGGCAGCAGUGGGGAAUUUUGGACAAUGGGCGCAAGCCUGAUCCAGCCAUGCCGCGUGAGUGAAGAAGGCCUCGG